AACGUAGGAGACAAACGUUAUCCGGAGUUACUGGGCGUAAAGGGCGCGUAGGCGGUCAGCACAAGUCAGUUGUGAAAUCUCCGGAGCUUAACUCGGAAAGGUCAACUGAUACGUGUGCGACUAGGAGUGCAGAAGGGGCAACUGGAAUUCUACGGUGUAGCGGUGAAAAUUCGUAGAUAUUCGGAAGAACACCAGUGGCGAAGGCGGCUCACUGGCCCGGUACUGACGCGUGAGGUGCG
rnacentral:rRNA from 1 species